rnacentral:tRNA from 1 species
AAAAUUUUAGUUUAACUAAAAUAAUUCAUUUACAUUGAAUAGAUUAAUUAAUUAUUAAAAUUUUA